rnacentral:rRNA from 1 species
UACGGGAGGCAGCAGUGGGGAAUAUUGCACAAUGGGCGCAAGCCUGAUGCAGCCAUGCCGCGUGUAUGAAGAAGGCCUUCGGGUUGUAAAGUACUUUCAGUCGUGAGGAAGGUGUUAAGGUUAAUAACCUUAGCAAUUGACGUUAGCGACAGAAGAAGCACCGGCUAACUCCGUGCCAGCAGCCGCGGUAAUACGGAGGGUGCGAGCGUUAAUCGGAAUUACUGGGCGUAAAGGGCACGCAGGCGGUUAAUUAAGUUGGAUGUGAAAUCCCCGGGCUUAACCUGGGAAUGGCAUUCAAGACUGGUUAGCUAGAGUCUUGUAGAGGGGGUAGAAUUCCAUGUGUAGCGGUGAAAUGCGUAGAGAUGUGGAGGAAUACCGGUGGGCGAAAGGCGGCCCCUGGGACAAAGACUGACGCUCAUGUGCGAAAAGCGUGGGGAGCAAAACAGGGAUUAGAUACC